CUCAACAGCUCUCUUUCCACAAAAACUCAGCCCGUCUCUCAACCUAGAGUGAACUUCCACAUAAACUCAGAUCGAUUCAUGUCUCAAAACCAGGAGAGGUUCUUCUCCCCCCAAAAGAGAUAGAAGCUACAAACGCACUCCUCGGGCUGAGUUUUGGUAUAGAUCAGAAGAGUCUUCUCAACCUCUCUCCGAUUUUGAGGCCCUCGUCACUAUUGGUCAAGUUCUUCAAUUUGAAGAAGGAGCGAGUCUGAUUCAUUGUUGUUCAUUGUCUAGGUGCGGGGACUGGGCAUUAGGUGCUGGAAAAAAUAUGUCAAAACAACUCAAUCUGUCAACGCUGUAAUCAAUUCUUUCACUUUGACGAAAACCCAGACCUCUCUCUCGGUCUCUUAGUCCCCUUGACCGUCGACGCUUGACUUGCGGUCUGGAGCAAAGAAGUCACUAGCUGAUCUCCCGAAACAAACAUUUGCUCUAAAAUCUUGUGAUAUCAAUUCCACUAGGCCUCAUCUGCUAUUAGUUGGUGGGAGUGAUGCAUUUGCGCGUUUAUAUGAUAGAAGGAUGCUGCUUCCUCUGACAUCCUGCCGGAAAAGAACGUCUCCACCUCCUUGUGUUAACUAUUUCUGUCCGAUGCAUCUCUCUGAUCGUGGACGUACAAGCUUGCACUUAACUCAUGUUACAUUUAGCCCAGAUGGAGAAGAGGUUCUACUUAGUUAUAGUGGGGAGCAUGUAUAUUUGAUGAACGUAAAUCAUGCUGGUGGAAGUGAUGUGCAAUAUACUUCAGGAGAUGCUUCAAAGAUAAUGAGCUUCAUACCUAUACUGAAUGUGCUAGAACUGCAGCAACCAGCAUCCAGUGUCUUCAGAAGUCGUCUUCCUAAAAGACGCAAGGCCACUGCUAUGUUGCUGCAGCAUGAAAAGUGCUGUAAACUAACUCAAAUUGCUGAGAAGUCGUUGGAGGAGGGAACUUUUAUCAUGGCAUUGAGGCAUGCAAUGAGGUGCUGGAUGGAUAUGGUCGCGAUAUUGGGCCCAUACUAAGGCAUGAUUGUCUCUGUACUCGUGCCGCAUUGUUGCUUAAGCAUAAUUGAAAAAACGAUGCUCAUAUGGCUAUAAGAGAUUGCUAUAAUGCCCGGAAAAUUGAUAACUCCUCUUUCAGAGCUCAUUACUAUAUGUCUGAAGCUUUAACACAGAAGCUGUAGAAUUUGCUAUGGCAGCACAAUCUUUAGCUCCGUCAAAUCCUGAGGUAACAGCACAAUUGGAGUGUAAAAAGAAAGCUUGCUGCAGGUAUCUGCUGGAGCGUCUAUGGUGGAUAGGGUUCAUUAAAGCAGGAAUUUUUUUGAAUCCAAUUGUCAGGCCUAUCAAUUACCCUGCAUUCUAUGAGUGGGGAACGAGGUCAAAUUUGGUUUACACAGACAAGGAUAUUGAUGAGAUCUGAGCGGAAUGGGCUAAGCAUGUUUUGAAGUUCCCAGAAAAUUAAGUAUCAGCCUAUAUAUAUGCUUUUGUUUCUGGUAGGUUAUGAGCAGUAGUAGUGUCUAGGAACUUCUUUUGUGUAUUUUGACAGAACUGAUGGAAAGUGUUGAACAAAUGCAUGCAGUUGCUGUAACUACUCUAUGGAUGCUACUAGGUUUUUGUCUUAGUUAGAUUAGAAUCCAUGCAACAAUGGCAGUAAUUAAAAUCGGUUGAUGUAAAGGCUAGCAUGCUUGCUAGUUUAGUAUUAUGCUACUGAUGGGAAUGUAUUUUGGUGGG